rnacentral:rRNA from 1 species
UACGUAGGGUGCAAGCGUUGUCCGGAAUUAUUGGGCGUAAAGAGCUCGUAGGCGGCUUGUUGCGUCGUCCGUGAAAACCUGUGGCUCAACUACAGGCUUGCGGUCGAUACGGGCGGGCUGGAGUUCGGUAGGGGAGACUGGAAUUCCUGGUGUAGCGGUGAAAUGCGCAGAUAUCAGGAGGAACACCGGUGGUGUAGACGGCUUUCUGGACCGUAACUGACGCUGAGACACGAAAGCGUGGGUAGCAAACAGG